AUAUUAUCCUGUCAUGUCAAAGCUGAGAGGAGUCAAAUACUAUGAUUUCCAAAAGACGAUGUGAAUAUCGAUAAAGGUGAUGAAGAUAUGAUUCACAAAUGUGCCCUGUGCAUUGAGUGGAUGCACAGGCUGGAGGAGCAGGAAAGCUUUUGAGCUGGAAUGAAAAUUGCCAGAAUGCCACAACACUGAAAGCAAGGAUUAAAAACUAAAAGUUUCUCUCUCUCCCUAUCUGCUGCUAUCUGCUUCUUCUCUUUCUUUCUCUCUCUCCCCCCUCCCAAUCUCUG